CAGGUCCUAUCAAGACGUGCAAGAAGACACAUCGAAUGAUGACUUAUACAACGAAGACGACAGAGACUUGAUUAAAAGUAUCGAGAAAGAAUUCUUGAUAACUCAGGAUAAUUUUCUUCCAGGUCAAAUUGUAAACUAAACAUUUUUAAAACGUUCGUUCAUUAAAUGCACAGUUAUUGCGGGAAUGUUUAUAUCGGGUUGAUCUGUUUAUGGAAAAAAUGAAUCUGUAGGUUUAAUAAUGCAACCAUUUUUAUUUCAGAUAUGAAAACCUAGUUUCAUAUUUUUGUGUGUUUUGAUGUUAUGUACUCAGGUGAACAUAAUGUUUUUGAUGUUACUCUGAGUGUAUAUCCACACCGGGCAGGCUGAAAAAUAUCAUGAUCAUAGAACACAUUGUCAAUGGUAUCGAAAGUACUAGAUUUAGUUACGAAAUACCACACACUCGAACAGACUUGACUCGAACAGACUUGACUCGUAGCUCAGUUGGCAGAGCAUUGGACUGCUAUCCCAAAG
rnacentral:lncRNA from 1 species